rnacentral:rRNA from 1 species
GACGAACGCUGGCGGCGUGCUUAACACAUGCAAGUCGUGCGGUAACAGGCGUAGCAAUACGUGCUGACGAGCGGCGAACGGGUGCGUAAUACAUGGGAAUCUGCCCUUUAGUGGGGAAUAACCCGGCGAAAGCCGGGCUAAUGCCGCAUAAGAUCUUCGGAUGAAAGCGGGGGAUCGUAAGACCUCGCGCUGAUGGAUGAGCCCAUGUCGGAUUAGCUAGUUGGNGAGGUAACGGCUCACCAAGGCGACGAUCCGUAGCUGGUCUGAGAGGACGGCCAGCCACACUGGGACUGAGACACGGCCCAGACUCCUACGGGAGGCAGCAGUGGGGAAUAUUGGACAAUGGGCGAAAGCCUGAUCCAGCGACGCCGCGUGUGUGAAGAAGGCCUGCGGGUUGUAAAGCACUUUCGAUGGGAACGAAAUAGCGCCGGCUAAUAAUCCCGGCAAGCUGACGUUACUCAAUAGAAGAAGC